CGGGCGGGAAGACGCCCACUGCAAACAGCGGCCGGCUAACGAUGAUACCACUAUUGUUGGUGAAAUCUUGGAUGGUGCUAGAAAGUAUACAGGAGUGAGAUCAGCUGAUUGAGUGGUGUCGCCACAACAACCACAAUCUUGCACUCAAUAUCAAGUCCAAAGAACUGAUGGUGGACGUCAGGAAGAAGAAGUCAGGAGAACGUUCAUUUGCCGGUCCUCAUUGAAGGGUCAGCAGUGGAAAGGGACUAAUAAAGGAGAAGAUGGCAGCGCAACAUAGUGAGCAGCGGCCACUCCGGUGAUGAAUAUCUGUUAUCUGUCAAGUAGGCUGCCGUGC